UACGGAGGGUGCAAGCGUUAUCCGGAUUUACUGGGUUUAAAGGGUGCGUAGGUGGAUUUGUAAGUCAGUGGUGAAAUCUCCGGGCUUAACCCGGAAACUGCCAUUGAUACUAUAAGUCUUGAAUUAUCUGGAGGUAAGCGGAAUAUGUCAUGUAGCGGUGAAAUGCUUAGAUAUGACGUAGAACACCAAUUGCGAAGGCAGCUUACUACGGAUAUAUUGACACUGAGGCACGAAAGCGUGGGGAUCAAACAGG
rnacentral:rRNA from 1 species